UUCUGCUCUCAGAUCCAAAGUCUCCCUGGCCCUUCCUCCGACUUCCCAACUGAAUCGAGGAACCCUGGGGCCGCAGACCCAGUGGACCCAGGAGAGGUGGUGGAGACCAAGGAUGUGAUUUGCAAGUUCCCAGGGCAGCGGCUCAGCUGGUGGGAAGCCCAAGAAUCCUGCGAACAGCGCUUUGGCCACCUGGCCCUGGGGCCUCCCGAUGAAGUUCUUGUUCCACAGCUGCGUGACGCAGUCUGGUUGGGCCAAAGAGAAACCAUUCUGCGGAGACCCCCUCGGAGGCGUGAGUGGGGGCCUGGGGUGAGGCGGGGGCUCUGGGGCCCUUCAGAGACGGGAGCCCACGAUGACAAUCCUUGUGGAAAGCACUCAAAGUAACACUUCGCUGUAGCUCUAGGUUCCCUUGCCUGGACUGGAAGUAGGGGUUGUCCUUUGGGCAGGGAACCUAGUACCCUCGUUUCUUCUUUUCCCGAGGCGGGAGGCACCCCAAAUCCCAGGAGGGGCACCACAGC
rnacentral:lncRNA from 1 species